UUGAUAAUUUGCUUAGUUUUUCUUGUGUUAUAUCGUUAGAUCCAGGAAAUAACAGAAAACUGGAUAAGUGUUUGAUCUUUGUUCCCUGAGAGAGAAGACAUAGAAAACCAUUAAAAGAAAAUUGUGGGGAUGUUUUCUUUCUUAGUGUACAGUGUUAUUGAGAUAUAGUAUGUACCGCUUUUCCUAGUUGAUUUCUCAAGAUUAAAUUAUCUUUAACCAUUUCAAUGUCGAACAAUUUCUCCAAUUUUCAUUAUUUUCUUCACCGAAACAAAAAGAAAAUCAAACAAGUUUCGGUUACCUCAGGGAUAGUCUUGCGAGUCGUAAUUCAAUUAUCUCUGGCGUUAAAUGCUUCUCAAAAUGCCCAGCAGCAUAGAAUCGUGCAGGCUGGUCCUUAACGUUAGUUGUUUUGCUCAAGUGGCCGUCUCGUCUGUAGUCGACGUUUGUGGUGUUGGGAUCAAAUUACAGGUAGGAUGAAAUUCAAAUGCAUGUGCAACACUUCGAUUUUAGUAAUAAAACAAACAUCAAAUGUCGGCAGAACAAAAUUUUCU
rnacentral:lncRNA from 1 species